UACGUAGGGGGCUAGCGUUGUCCGGAAUCAUUGGGCGUAAAGAGCGUGUAGGCGGCCCGGUAAGUCCGCUGUAAAAAGUCAAAGGCUCAACCUUUGAAUGUCAGUGGAUACUGCCGGGCUAGAGUCCGGAAGAGGCGAGUGGAACUCCUGGUGUAGCGGUGGAAUGCGCAGAUAUCAGGAAGAACACCAACGGCGAAGGCAGCUCGCUGGGACGGUACUGACGCUGAGACGCGAAAAGCGUGGGGAGCGAACAGGA
rnacentral:rRNA from 1 species